AGUGAACGCUGGCGGCGUGCCUAAUACAUGCAAGUCGAACGGAGUGGCGCAAGGGUGAGUAAUAUAUAGCGAAACUGCCCCUUGCUGGAGGACAAAAGUUAGAAAUGACUGCUAAUACACCAAAGCAAGGGAGGAGACUAUAUCGUAUCAGCUCGUCGGUGGGGUAGCGGCCUACCUAGGCUAUGACCCGUAACUUGUCUCCGAGGAUGAUCAGUCACAUCUGAGCUGUGACACAGUCCAAACUCCUCCGGCAUGCAGCAGUAUGGAAUAUUGCGCAGUGGGGGAAACCCUGACGCAUCUCCGCCGCGUGAAGGCUGUCACUUUUCUGAGCGUGAACUCCUUUUGUUAGUGAAGCGGUACCUAACGAAUAAGCACCGGCUAACUCCGUGCCAGCCGCCGCGGUAAUUC
rnacentral:rRNA from 1 species